rnacentral:rRNA from 1 species
GACGAACGCUGGCGGCGUGCUUAACACAUGCAAGUCGAGCGGUAAGGCCCUUUCGGGGGUACACGAGCGGCGAACGGGUGAGUAACACGUGGGUGACCUGCCCUCAGCUCUGGGAUAAGCCUGGGAAACUGGGUCUAAUACUGGAUAUGACUCCACGGUGCAUGUCGUGGGGUGGAAAGCCUUGUGCGGCUGAGGAUGGGCCCGCGGCCUAUCAGCUUGUUGGGGGGUGAUGGCCUACCAAGGCGACGACGGGUAGCCGGCCUGAGAGGGCGACCGGCCACACUGGGACUGAGACACGGCCCAGGACUCCUACGGGAGGCAGCAGUGGGGAAUCUUGCGCAAUGGGCGAAAGCCUGACGCAGCGACGCCGCGUGA